GUCUUUUUGAUUAUAAUUUAAAGUCUGACCUGCCCAAUGAGGAGUUAAAUGGCUGCGGUAAUUUGACCGUACAAAGGUAGCAUAAUCAUUAGUUUUUUAAUUGAAAGCUGGAAUGAAAGGUUGGACGAGAGAAUGACUGUCUCAAUUUAAUUUAAAUUAGAAUUUUAUUUUUAAGUAAAAAAGCUUAGAUAACUUUAAAAGACGAGAAGACCCUAUAGAAUUUUAUAUAUUUUGGAAUAAGGAUUUUUAAGUUAAUUUUUAUUUUUAUUUAAAAAUGUAUUUUGUUGGGGUGAUAGAAAAAUUUAAUUAACUUUUUUUUUUUUAUAUCAUUAAUUUAUGAUUAAGUGAUCCAUAUUUUAUGAUUAUAAGAUUAAAUUACCUUAGGGAUAACAGCGUAAUUUUUCUUAAGAGUUCAUAUCUAAAGAAGAGAUUGCGACCUCGAUGUUGGAUUAAAAUAAAUUUUUGGUGUAGAAGCUAAAGUAAUUAGGUCUGUUCGACCUUUAAAAUUUUACA
rnacentral:rRNA from 1 species